rnacentral:rRNA from 1 species
ACUCCUACGGGAGGCAGCAGUGGGGAAUAUUGCACAAUGGGGGAAACCCUGAUGCAGCCAUGCCGCGUGUGUGAAGAAGGCCUUCGGGUUGUAAAGCACUUUCAGUAGGGAGGAAGGUAGUGUAGUUAACACCUGCACUAUUUGACGUUACCUACAGAAGAAGCACCGGCUAACUCCGUGCCAGCAGCCGCGGUAAUACGGAGGGUGCGAGCGUUAAUCGGAAUUACUGGGCGUAAAGCGCAUGCAGGCGGCCUGUUAAGUCAGAUGUGAAAGCCCGGGGUCUUAACCUCGGAAUUGCAUUUGAAACUGGCAGGCUAGAGUCUUGUAGAGGGGUUAGAAUUUCAGGUGUAGCGGUGAAAUGCGUAGAGAUCUGAAGGAAUACCAGUGGCGAAGGCGGCCCCCGUGGACAAAGACUGACGCUCAGAUGCGAAAGCGUGGGAGCAAACAGGAUUAGAUACCCCGUGGUAGACUGUCA